rnacentral:rRNA from 1 species
GACGUAGGGGGCAAGCGUUGUCCGGAUUUAUUGGGCGUAAAGAGCGUGUAGGCGGCUAGAUAGGUCCGUUGUGAAAACUCGAGGCUCAACCUCGAGACGCCGGUGGAAACCAUCCAGCUAGAGUCCGGAAGAGGAGAGUGGAAUUCCCGGUGUAGCGGUGAAAUGCGCAGAUAUCGGGAAGAACACCCGUGGCGAAGGCGGCUCUCUGGGACGGUACUGACGCUGAGACGCGAAAGCGUGGGGAGCGAACAGG